UACGGGGGGUGCUAGCGUUGUUCGGAAUUACUGGGCGUAAAGGGCGCGUAGGCGGCCGUUUGCGUCGGAUGUGAAAGCCCGGGGCUCAACCUCGGAACGGCAUUCGAUACGGGACGGCUGGAGACCGGGAGAGGAGAGUGGAAUAGCCAGUGUAGAGGUGAAAUUCGUAGAUAUUGGCUGGAACACCGGUGGCGAAAGCGGCUCUCUGGCCCGGUUCUGACGCUGAGGCGCGAAAGCGUGGGGAGCAAACAGG
rnacentral:rRNA from 1 species